AAAAUGAUAGAAUCUAAAGCGAGAUGAUGUAUCAAAUAUUCUUGCUUUGUACGUUUUCAAGACAAAAUAUUCAACUCAAACACGCCCUAACAUAAAAAGGUGCACUCGAUUUUCUCUUUUCGAUACAAUUGUUACCCAUUUUUUAGAAUUUUUUCUUGAGUCACAUAAUGGAAGGGCAGACACGAAAAUUACUGAACCUAUAGAUUGAUAUG
rnacentral:lncRNA from 1 species